GGACGAACGCUGGCGGCGUGCCUAAUACAUGCAAGUCGAACGGUCUUUCUAUGGAAGCUUGCUUCCACUGAGAAGAUAGUGGCGAACGGGUGAGUAACACGUGGGUAACCUGCCCAUAAGAGGGGGGAUAACAUCCGGAAACGGGUGCUAAUACCGCAUAGUUUUCUUGAUCGCAUGAUCGGGAAAGGAAAGACGGCCUUUGUGCUGUCGCUUAUGGAUGGACCCGCGGCGUAUUAGUUAGUUGGUGAGGUAACGGCUCACCAAGACGAUGAUACGUAGCCGACCUGAGAGGGUGAUCGGCCACAUUGGGACUGAGACACGGCCCAAACUCCUACGGGAGGCAGCAGUAGGGAAUCUUCCGCAAUGGACGAAAGUCUGACGGAGCAACGCCGCGUGAGUGAAGAAAGGUUUUCGGAUCGUAAAACUCUGUUGUCAGAGAAGAACAAGUUGGAGAGUAACUGCUCCAGCCUUGACGGUAUCUGACCAGAAAGCCACGGCUAACUACGUGCCAGCAGCCGC
rnacentral:rRNA from 1 species